AUAUCUCUACGUAGAGUUGUUGCAUACAAGGUGUAUGGGCAAGAACAAAUAUUAUGCUUUUUAGUAGUUGACGUAAGCUUUAUUGGUAUCUUUUCUAAAGUUUAUUUACCAUUUCAGGAUUCAGUAUGUUAUUUCUUGAAGUUCUUCGCUAUUUUAGCCUAUAGUUGAAGAGAUUACUUAUUUCUAAGUGUGCAUCAAAAUGUUGCCAAUGAAUCAAGACUAAUUCGACAUUGAUAAUGUCUCUAUCACUAAUUAAGCAAUUUGGUGGAUACAUGCAAGAAUCCAAAAUACCAUACGGUGUGAUACUGAA
rnacentral:lncRNA from 1 species